rnacentral:lncRNA from 1 species
UUGUAAAAUAUUUAACGAAUUUUUUUACAUUUCAAAAAUGAAUAUUUGAUGUAAAUUAUAAGGCAUCUACUUCUAGAUAUUUUAUUAAUUUUUCAUUUCUCCUCGUAUAUUCUUUGAUGAUGAAUUUUUAUGACAUACUUAAAUUAUAAUAAACAAAACUUAUCUUUGUAUUUUAUUGUAUUGUGUUGUAGGAAAUGGGGCCUAGCUCUAUCACUGCGACCAUCAGUGGUCUAUUAUUGUGUACCCCUAACACGAUCAUCCCAUGAGAAGACCUGUCUUAAUCACGUAAGACAGUAUCUUCUUCAAUGGGACUGUAAACAGAUCAUCUGGUGCAGAAAAAUGCAACCCAAGAAUAGCACACCUUAGCCCUGAAAGAACCACACAUUCACACAAAAUUGAAGAGGAGUUUCAUCCGCUCCCUGACAUCAUCUAUAAUUGGGACUAUCAACAAUCCCAAUUAAAUUAUUGCCUUCUAAAAUAACAAUGCCUUGUAAAGAGUCCAGUGAUAAUUCUACUUUCAUUUUUAUGCAAUGGAAGCAGCUCUGAAAAAGAAAAAAGAAAUUUAUCUUACUCUACUGAAAAUAACUAAUUUACAAAAUAAUGACUCCAUAAAAAAAUCAGUCUUUAAUUAAAUAUGGAAUAAAAAUAAUUUAUGAAUAUAAAAAAUAAAAAUGCAGUUAUAAAACUAAAGACGAAGCGCAUUAAAAAUAAUAAUGACUUCAUAAUCAAUAAAAAUGCAAUUAUGAAAGAAGAGACAAGACUGCGUGAGUAUUAAAAAUAAAUAAAAAAACAAUUAUAAAAGUGGAG